CGCAGCUAACUGUGUGAAAUCGUGUGAACUGCAGGACACAUGAACAUCGACAUUUUGAACGCACAUUGCGGUCCAUGCGAAUGUUUAAUGUAUUAAACUGCAUGGACCACGUAUGGUUGAGUGUCGUAAAUAUAAUAAGCAGAACAUAUUGUUUGUUUUUAAAACAUUGGGGUUAUGAAUGACUCGUUCUCAUUCAUGCUCUGAAUACUGUUGUAGUAUGAGAGGCACAUUUUGAAUAUGUACCCGAGAAAGACGUAAUACUUACAUAGAGGUAUAUAUCAUAGUCAUUGAAUUAAUUUCCAUACGACCAUUGUUUAUAUACUCUCGCUUGUAUGUCAUUGCAAGGGGAUUUAUUCGUUAAAAAAUGUGUGCAAAAUCAUAAAGCGCGACCUCAACUCAUGCGUGACUACCCCCUGAAUUUAAGCAUAUUAAUAAGCGGAGGAAAAGAAACUAACCAGG
rnacentral:rRNA from 1 species